CCUACGGGGGGCUGCAGUAGGGAAUAUUGCUCAAUGGGGGAAACCCUGAAGCAGCAACGCCGCGUGGAGGAUGAAGGUUUUCGGAUUGUAAACUCCUUUUGUUAGAGAAGAUAAUGACGGUAUCUAACGGAUAAGCACUGGCUAACUCCGUGCCAGCAGCCGCGGUAAUACGGAGGGUGCAAGCGUUACUCGGAAUCACUGGGCGUAACGAGCGCGUAGGCGGGAUAGCAAGUCAGAUGUGAAAUCCUAUGGCUUAACCAUAGAACUGCAUUUGAAACUGUUAUUCUAGAGUAUGGGAGAGGUAGGUGGAAUUCUUGGUGUAGGGGUAAAAUCCGUAGAGAUCAAGAGGAAUACUCAUUGCGAAGGCGACCUGCUAGAACAUAACUGACGCUGAUGCGCGAAAGCGUGGGGAGCAAACAGGAUUAGAUACCCGAGUAGUC
rnacentral:rRNA from 1 species